rnacentral:lncRNA from 1 species
UUUUGACCUCCACAUUUUCACCACCUGUUUCCCUGUUGGAUUACCAAUAAAUAGCGUGGGCUCCCAGCGCUCAGGGCCUUCGCAGUCUCCACGAUCACGAUGGUCCUCUGGUGUCCCAUCUUUCUCUCUCAAACUGUCCUUUCCUCAAUCCUUUGACUCCGCCGGACUUUGUCACCCCCACAACCUGGUUUUGGGUCUGGCCACCCCAACAUUAAGUACAGUGGCUCAUGCUUGUAAUCCCAGAGUUUUUGGAGGCCAAGACAGAACUGCUUGAGCUCAAGAGUUUGAAACCAGCCUGGGCAACAUAAUGAGAUCUCAUCUCUACAAACAAUUAAAGUAUUAGCCAAGCAAGGUGGUUUACAUGACUGGCUACUAGGGAAGCUGAGUCUAACCAUGAGAAAAACACCAAAUCAUCCCAAAUUAAGGAUGUUGGAUGAAGUGCCUGUCCAAUACACAAAACCGUCAAGUUGGUGAAAAACAAAGUCUGAGAAACAGUCACAGUCAAAAGGAGCCAAAAGAAAUCUGAAUACUAAAUGUUAUGUGCUACCUUGGAUGGGAUCCUGGAACAGAAAAAAAAAAAGAGGCAUUUUCCCAACGCAAAUGGCAGCAUAAGCAUCUGAGAAUCUGAGCAGCCCUUGCAAGCACCUCACAGAAGCUGAAGAAACAAAAGUUGGAGUUCAGAACCUAUCAAUGUGGAGGCAUUCUAGCAAUGAACUCUAGAGUUAAGAUGGGUCUCCCAAACAAAUGAAAACAAACUGUGAAUAAAACAUUCCUUUCAGAAAAUAAAAGCAGUCACUGAAUGACCUCAAUCAUUGACCUUAGUAUGGACAUUUGCCUUUGUCUUAGCUAUGGCUGAAAAGC